AUGCUAGAUUUCACCAAAACCUGGGUUGAAAUCUCAAAUUCUGCGGUGAUGUUGCAAGGUAAUCAAAGGCAUCCAACGAGGUUCUCUUUUGUAAGCUAUAAGGUGAGACUAUCCGCUUCGGACACGAAGAAGAGAGGAUUGAAGGAUCUCGAACAUUACCAGCACAGUCAGAAUAGAAGCUAA